rnacentral:misc_RNA from 1 species
GAUGAAGAACGUAGCGAAAUGCGAUAAGUAAUGUGAAUUGCAGAAUUCCGUGAAUCAUCGAAUCUUUGAACGCACAUUGCGCCCUCUGGUAUUCCGGGGGGCAUGCCUGUUCGAGCGUCAUUAUAACCACUCAAGCUCUCGCUUGGUAUUGGAGUUCGCGAUCUCGCGGCUCCUAAAAUCAGUGGCGGUGCCUGUCGGCUCUACGCGUAGUAAUACUCCUCGCGAUUGAGUCCGGUAGGUUUACUUGCCAGCAACCCCCAAUUUUUACAGGUUGACCUCGGAUCAGGUAGGGAUACCCGCUGAACUUAAGCAUAUCAAUAAGCGGAGGA